AGCAGUCGCCACGGGAAUACGUAGGUGGCAAGCGUUGUCCGGAAUUAUUGGGCGUAAAGCGCGCGCAGGCGGUUUCUUAAGUCUGAUGUGGAAGCCCCCGGCUUAACCGGGGAGGGUCAUUGGAAACUGGGAGACUUAGAGUGCAGAAGAGGAGAGUGGAAUUCCAUGUGUAGCGGUGAAAUGCGUUGAGAUCGGAAAGAACACCAACGGCGAAAGCACUCUGCUGGGCCGACACUGACACUGAGAGACGAGAGCUAGGGGAGCAAAUGGGAUUAGAUACCCCAGUAGUCCCUGUCUCUUAUU
rnacentral:rRNA from 1 species